rnacentral:rRNA from 1 species
GACGAAGGGGGCUAGCGUUGUUCGGAAUUACUGGGCGUAAAGCGUGUGUAGGUGGUUGCCGUAGUCAGGCGUGAAAGCCUUGAGCUCAACUCAAGAAAUGCGCUUGAUACUGGGCAGCUAGAGGACCGGAGAGGAUAGUGGAAUUCCCAGUGUAGUGGUGAAAUACGUAGAGAUUGGGAAGAACACCAGUGGCGAAGGCGGCUAUCUGGACGGUUUCUGACACUAAGACACGAAAGCGUGGGGAGCAAACAGG